rnacentral:misc_RNA from 1 species
GGAGUAUCGAUAAAUUUCCAAAGAGUUCUGGUUCAAAGACUUCAGUAAAGAAGGGUAAGAAUACUGACUUCAGCUCUAGAGGUGGUCUGACAAAGACAAGGGUUUCUGCUGUAUCUAAGAUUGUGGACGACAAUGAUGAGUAUGAUGAUAUGGUAUUUGAUCCCGAAGACUCCGAAGGCAUGGGCCCCGAUGAAGAAGAGGAAGACUAUGAGACCAUGACGGGUGAAAUUCAUGAAAACUUUGACAACGGGGAACCAAGAUUGAGCCAUGAUUCAGAGAAGUUGGAAAACUCUGGAUCAGAGAAUGGUGAUGUUCUAAGAUCAUUUUCUCAAGUGAACUCUGCUUCAGAAGCUGUAUUGCCUUCUAUGGUCUCUAACAAAUUGUUAUCUGGUGGACUUGUGCAAGAUUCACCCGGAGAAAGUCCCGUCUCAUGGAAUACACAUGCUCAUCACCCUUUUUCUUAUCCUCAUGAGAUGUCUGAUGUUGAUGCAUCCGUGGACUCUCCUGUGGGAAGUCCUGCAUCCUGGAAUUCACAUUCUCUAAGUCAAACAGAUAGUGAUGCAGCUAGAAUGAGGAAGAAAUGGGGAAUGGCUCAGAAACCUAUGCUUGUGGCAA